AGGGUUUGAUCAUGGCUCAGAACGUACGCUGGCGGCACGCCUUAUACAUGCAAGUCGAACGAAGUAGCAAUACUUAGUGGCAGACGGGUGAGUAACAUGUGGGUAUCUUCCCUUUGGUGAGGAAUAACACGAGGAAACUUGUGCUAAUACCUCAUAAGUCUUUACAGAGAAAGCUUUAUGCGCCGAUGGAUGAGCCUGCACUUGAUUAGUUUGUUGGUGGGGUAAUGGCCUACCAAGACUGUGAUCAAUAGCUGAUUUGAGAGGAUGAUCAGCCACAUUGGGACUGCGACACGGCCCAAACUCCUACGGGAGGCAGCAGUAAGGAAUCUUGCACAAUGGAGGAAACUCUGAUGCAGCGAUGCCGCGUGAGUGAAGAAGGCCUUUGGGUUGUAAAGCUCUUUCGUCGGGGAAGAAAAUGACUGUACCCGAAUAAGAAGGUCCGGCUAACUUCGUGCCAGCAGCCGCGGUAAUACGAAGGGACCUAGCGUAGUUCGGAAUUACUGGGCUUAAAGAGUUCGUAGGUGGUUAAAAAAGUUGGUGGUGAAAUCCCAGAGCUUAACUCUGGAACUGCCAUCAAAACUUUUUAGCUAGAGUAUGAUAGAGGAAAGCAGAAUUUCUAGUGUAGAGGUGAAAUUCGUAGAUAUUAGAAAGAAUACCAAUUGCGAAGGCAGCUUUCUGGA
rnacentral:rRNA from 1 species